rnacentral:rRNA from 1 species
UACGUAGGGAGCAAGCGUUUGUUCGGAUUUACUGGGCGUAAAGGGCGCGUAGGCGGCGCGGUAAGUCACUUGUGAAAUCUCUGAGCUUAACUCAGAACGGCCAAGUGAUACUGCAGUGCUAGAGUGCAGAAAGGGCAAUCGGAAUUCUUGGUGUAGCGGUGAAAUGCGUAGAUAUCAAGAGGAACACCUGAGGCGAAGGCGGGUUGCUAGGCUGACACUGACGCUGAGGCGCGAAAGCCAGGGGAGCAAACGGGG